UCUGUCACCAAAUAUAAAUCUUUGGGGGUCUGAAAAGAGAAACGUAAAGCAACGAUGAAGGGCGAAUCAGCUGCAGAAGUUUGGACGAGAAUGUCUCUUUCCCCAACAGUGUGUGCAACUUCUUUGCGACGGACUAUUACUUUUUUGGAAAGUACUUUCAUUGCGUAUACGCGCUCGGUGUCUUUUUUACGAACAAGAUAGACUUGACCAAAUGUACCUUUUCCAAUUAAUUUCAACGGAACGAAGUCAUCAGGGCCGUAGGAGUGUUGACUGAGAGGCUGGAAAACAGUAUUGAGAGAAAGACGAAGAUCAACCAUACGGUUGUAUGCGGGAGAAACUUCAACGCUGUUGCAAAACUGUUCAAAUUGACCAUAAUUAUAAGACGGGUGAAUGUAAGUUCUCCCAACAAAUUCAUUAUUAUUACCAUGGUCAUAAAUAUUAACAUCGAUGGGGACCGGUUUAGCAACAUCAAAUACAACAUAAGAUGGAGUUAAGGGAUUUGGAAUUGAAGACGUACGUUGAAUUGCAGGAGUAGGAAUGGGAUGAGAGCUCAUCAUAGAUGAACUCCUACUCACAUUAGCAGAAUCCCGACUAGAUGUGCCUAUAUCACGGCCAGGUGAUUCCCAUUUCAAUGGAGGUGAAACAAACUCCGUCGUACCAAAUUGAACAACAACAAACAACUGAUUAAGUCUUGAGCAUUCCAUGGCUAAUGCUGCAUCAGUAUGAGGUCCUCCCAAAACUAAUGAACCUAUUUGAAGUUUCAAAUAGCCUGAAGGUUCAUGGUCAACUUCAGGUAAUAUAUCAUUACUAUUUCUGUUACCAACCGUAGACUGGUCACUGGCGAAUUCUUCCAUGGGAUGGUCUAUCGAGGAAGGACCUAAAUUUGAAACUGAAGGAAGUGAACCACCUUCACCUUCCUCAACUGGUUGAUUGGUUUGGAUGCUUGCCAAAGGACUUCGGGGAAGUGACCCUUUAGCAGAAUUGGUGGAAACCGAUUUUUUAGACAGCCCGAACCAAUUUUUUGCCCACUUAUUCAUCAUUUUAUAAUCACUCAAAAAACCAAUUUAUGUACGAUUAUUGUAAAAGAAAAUACGAACACAAAAUGUCACUGUUGGAUUAAUUGCUUGUAGAUGCAAAAAGGGAUUUUCUUUCUUUCAAGCAAG